rnacentral:misc_RNA from 1 species
GAAAUGCGAUACGUAAUGUGAAUUGCAGAACCCCGUGAAUCAUCAAAUUUUCGAACGCAUAUUGCGCUCUUGGGUAUUCCUGAGAGCAUGCCUGUUUGAGCGUCAGUAUCAAACCUCAAACCUCUAUGGUUUGGAUGUGGGCCCCUUUCUCAGUUAUCUGAGUGGCCUUAAAUGUAUUGGAGAAUUGGCUUAAUUCCCGCUUUCUAGGCGUGAUAAUGGUUUUAACCUUUGCCUGCCUAUUUUCGGGUUGAUCCAACUUCUCCGUAAUAGCCCUUCUGGGCAACAAUCAAAGGAUAUCCCUUUGAAACUUGACCUCAAAUCAAGCAAGACUACCCGCUGAACUUAA